rnacentral:rRNA from 1 species
GCGGCAAUAGCUCAAAUUUGAAAUCUGGCACUUUCAGUGUCCGAGUUGUAAUUUGAAGAAGGUAUCUUUGGGUCUAGCUCUUGUCUAUGUUUCUUGGAACAGAACGUCACAGAGGGUGAGAAUCCCGUGCGAUGAGAUGUCUAGAUCUAUGUAAAGUUCCUUCGAAGAGUCGAGUUGUUUGGGAAUGCAGCUCUAAGUGGGUGGUAAAUUCCAUCUAAAGCUAAAUAUUGGCGAGAGACCGAUAGCGAACAAGUACAGUGAUGGAAAGAUGAAAAGAACUUUGAAAAGAGAGUGAAAAAGUACGUGAAAUUGUUGAAAGGGAAGGGCUUGAGAUCAGACUUGGUAUUUUGUAUGUUACUCUCUCGGGGGUGGCCUCUACAGUUUACCGGGCCAGCAUCAGUUUGAGCGGUAGGAGAAUUGCGUAGGAAUGUGGCUCGGCCUCGGUCGAGUGUUAUAGCCUUCGUCGAUACUGCCAGCUUAGACUGAGGACUGCGGCUUCGGCCUAGGAUGUUGGCAUAAUGAUCUUAAGUCGCCCGUCUUG